UACAGAGGGGGCAAGCGUUGUUCGGAAUUACUGGGCGUAAAGGGCGCGUAGGCGCCUUCUAAGUCGAACGUGAAAUCCCCGGGCUCAACCCGGGAACUGCGUCCGAUACUGGAAGGCUUGAAUCCGGGAGAGGGAUGCGGAAUUCCAGGUGUAGCGGUGAAAUGCGUAGAUAUCUGGAGGAACACCGGUGGCGAAGGCGGCAGUCCUGGACCGGCAUUGACGCUGAGGCGCGAAAGCCAGGG
rnacentral:rRNA from 1 species